GAAAGAACCUGAAGUACCGCUGCUUGGAAUGUAACGUUGUUCUAUGUGACAAAUGUAAAUAUACUCAUUCUUUUUCUGCAUCGAAUUCAAGUCACAACGUUUUGUCUUUUGACAGCAUCACUAUGAACAAUUGUCCAGAACAUGAAAUUAGGAAAAUGCAUUGCAAGAAACACAACACAAAAACAUAUUCAUUAUUUUGUCAGACUUGCAAAAUUCUGAUUUGCGAAGAUUGCUUUGUUGAAAGUCAUUCGACAAACCAUAUAAAUACUAGUAUUGAUAUCGAUAAAUUUG
rnacentral:lncRNA from 1 species